AACGAACGCUGGCGGCAGGCCUAACACAUGCAAGUCGAGCGCCCUUUCGGGGGAGCGGCGGCCGGGUGAGUAACGCGUGGGAAUAUGCCCUUCUCUACGGAAUAGCCUCGGGAAACUGAGAGUAAUACCGUAUACGCCCUUUGGGGGAAAGAUUUAUCGGGGAAGGAUUAGCCCGCGUUGGAUUAGGUAGUUGGUGGGGUAAUGGCCUACCAAGCCGACGAUCCAUAGCUGGUUUGAGAGGAUGAUCAGCCACACUGGGACUGAGACACGGCCCAGACUCCUACGGGAGGCAGCAGUGGGGAAUCUUAGACAAUGGAGGCAACCCUGAUCUAGCCAUGCCGCGUGAGUGAUGAAGGCCUUAGGGUUGUAAAGCUCUUUCAGCUGGGAAGAUAAUGACGGUACCAGCAGAAGAAGCCCCGGCUAACUCCGUG
rnacentral:rRNA from 1 species